rnacentral:rRNA from 1 species
UAGUCCACGCCGUAAACGAUGGAUACUAGUUGUUGGGUUUCGACUCAGUGACUAAGCGAAAGUGAUAAGUAUCCCACCUGGGGAGUACGGUCGCAAGACUGAAACUCAAAGGAAUUGACGGGGGCCCGCACAAGCGGUGGAGCAUGUGGUUUAAUUCGAUGAUACGCGAGGAACCUUACCAGGGCUUAAAUGUAGAGUGACAGGGCUAGAGAUAGCUUUUCCUUCGGACACUUUACAAGGUGCUGCAUGGUUGUCGUCAGCUCGUGCCGUGAGGUGUCAGGUUAAGUCCUAUAACGAGCGCAACCCCUAUUGUUAGUUGCUAACAGGUCAUGCUGAGGACUCUAGCGAGACUGCCGGUGCAAACCGUGAGGAAGGUGGGGAUGACGUCAAAUCAUCACGGCCCUUACGUCCUGGGCUACACACGUGCUACAAUGGUAUGGACAAUGAGCAGCCAUCUGGCAACAGAGAGCGAAAUCUAUAAACCAUAUCACAGUUCGG